UCCAGGCUCAGGCAAUUCGCCACGGAUCACAUUUUAUUUCACGCUUUUGCAGACGCAGGAAACCGUUGGAGUAGAGAGGUGCGCCGGACUGGAGAGACACAACAGUUCACGUUUCCUGCUUCACGAGCUGCUGACCUCCUACCGCAUCCUCACAUGGAGGAUCGUGGCAGCUGUGGCAGCGAUGGAGAGGAGGAGGAGGAGGAGUGCCAUCAGCAGCUAUCAGACCACUCUAAGAAAGGUUAUUACGGACAGCCAUCCAGACACAGAGACACAGAACUGUAGGCUUGCUGGUCUGUGCAAGCAGAAUGCUGUCUGGAGGUUCUCUUCCUUCCCAGCCAAAGUGGAGCAAAGGUAGUCUUGCGAAGCUGUCUUUUUGGUUGGGGAUAAUUAGUAGGUGUGCUGCACGACUUAGACAUAUCCAUAGGCUGAAACUGGAAGACUUUGUUUUGGGGGGAUAUACUAUUCUGUUAGCAUUUAGGCAAAGAAAUCACUAUCGCCUGAAUGCUGUUGCCUGUUUUGAGAGGACCAAAUCCUGUUCUAAAGUUGGAGUUAACUGUUGGUAUUUUCAUACUCGAACAGGAAAACCUUUUCUUCCCCUUUUAUUAAUGCUGCCAAUUUGGGCUGUUCUACGAAAGCAUGAUCUAGGAGAUAAACUUGAUGCAACCGAACUUAAAAGGAUUUAAAAACAAACUAAAAAACUAAAACUUAAAAAAACUAAACUUAAAAGGAUUUAAAAACAGUAAGUGCCUUUAGCAAGAAGCAUUUCUAAUUGUUUGUUUGGACAUGCAACAUGUGUAAACAUACGUGUGUAAAGCCAUAACACACUAAACAGGGGGAUGGACUCUUUCACCUAAGUUUUGUAUCAGAUUCAUGACAACAGUUUACCUUGCAUGUUGUUUUUCAGGGUUCAUAUAUGCAGAUGGGGUAUUUCAAAAGCACUGAGUGUGCAUAACUGACCGUGCAGCUGGCCAGGUGGGUUGGAAAAGACCAGCUUGUGCUCAAACAGAAAAAGUGCUGUAGAAAUUCAGUCAUGUAUCGAAAUUGCCACAGCCACAAAUAAUAAACAACAGACUCUAG
ensembl:lncRNA